rnacentral:rRNA from 1 species
AGAUUGAACGCUGGCGGCAGGCCUAACACAUGCAAGUCGAGCGGUAGAGAGGUGCUUGCAUCUCUUGAGAGCGGCGGACGGGUGAGUAAUGCCUAGGAAUCUGCCUAGUGGUGGGGGAUAACGUUCGGAAACGGACGCUAAUACCGCAUACGUCCUACGGGAGAAAGCGGGGGACCUUCGGGCCUCGCGCCAUUAGAUGAGCCUAGGUCGGAUUAGCUAGUUGGUGAGGUAAUGGCUCACCAAGGCGACGAUCCGUAACUGGUCUGAGAGGAUGAUCAGUCAUACUGGAACUGAGACACGGUCCAGACUCCGUACGGGAGCAGCAGUGGGGAAUAUUGGAC